rnacentral:tRNA from 1 species
CCCGUGAUAGCUCAGUUGGUAGGGCGGAGGACUGUAGAUCCUUAGGUCGCUGGUUCAAAUCCGGCUCGCGGGA